ACCCUAAGGCAAACAAUACACAUAAUCAAAUAUAAACCACAUCCAAUACAUCAAUCUACUAAAAUACAAAAGCUUUAAUAUAAAAACCAAGUUUUCAUGAAGAUCUUCCUGCAAUAAGAGCACUUGAGACUAGAUAUAGUCAAUCUACUACAUUUAAUUAAAUUUUCUCCAAUCUUCUCCUACAACAUUAGGUUUCAUAACUUCUCAAGCUCUUUGAUCAUUUGUGAUAACCACUUCAACAAUUGUUAUCAUAGACACCCUUUUAGCUUUCUCAAGACCUAUCUUCUCCUUUCUUCAUUCACCAAGCUCCAAAUUUACUUAUGAUGUACUUCUUUCUUCGGUGCUUGAAAUCUUCCACCUCAGCCC
rnacentral:lncRNA from 1 species